rnacentral:lncRNA from 1 species
UGCUGGGACUGGCACUGUUCAAUAUCUUUGUCAGUGACAUGGACAGUGGGAUUUAGCACUCUCAGCAAAUUUCCAAUGACACCAAGCUGUGUGGUGCAGUCAAAACGCUGGAGGGAAGGGACGUCAUCCAGAAGGACCUGGACAGGCUGGAGAAGGGUGACAGUGCCAACAUCAUGAAGUUCAACAAGGUCAAGUGCAAGGUCCUGCACCUGGGUCAGGGCAAUCCCAAGCACAAACACAGGCUGAGCAGAGACUGGACUGAGAUCAGCCCUGAGGAGAAGGACUUGGGGCUGUUGGGUGACGAGAGGGUCACCAUGACCCGAUAGUGUGUGCUUGAGCCCACAGACCAACUGUGUCCUGGGCUGCAUCACCAGCAGCAUGACCAGCAGGUCGAGAGAGGGGAUUCUUCCCCUUUUGCUCUGCUCUGGUGAGACCCCCCCCUGCAGUCCUGCAGCCAGCUCUGGGGCCCCAACACAAGAAGGACAUGGAGCUUUUGGAGCAAGCCCAGAGGAGGCCACCAAGAUGCUCUGAGGGCUGGAGCACCUCUGCUAUGGAGACAGGCUGAGACAGCUGGGCUUCUUCAGUCUGGAGAGGAGAACGCUCCAGGGACACCUUAGAGCAGCUUCCAGUGCCUAAAGGGGCCAACAAGAAAGCUGGAGAGGGACUUUUGACAAGGGCAAGUAGGGACACGACAAGGGGGAAUGGCUUUAAACUGACAGAGGGGAGAUUUAGAUGAGAUCUGAGACAGAAGUUCUUCCCUGUGAGGGUGGUGAGGGCCUGGCACAGGUUGCCCAGAGAAGCUGUGGCUGCCCCAUCCCUGGCAGUGUUCAAGGCCAGGUUGGACGGGGCUUGGAGCAACCUGCUCUAGUGGAAGGUGUCUCUGCCCAUGGCAGGGGGUUGGAACUGGAUGAACUUUAAGGUCCCUUCCAACCUAUUCUAGGAUUCUAUAUGAUUCUAUGCCAACUGUAUGAAGUGUUUGCGCUGACAUUAUGUCUACCUGAGGUACGUUGCUGAACCAUAAUGUUAGGAGGGUCACAAAAAUAAAAAAAAAA